UGGAAUUAAAGACUUGUGGACUGUGU
rnacentral:piRNA from 1 species